rnacentral:rRNA from 1 species
AACCAACGCUGGCGGCGUGCCUAAUACAUGCAAGUCGAACGGGGAAAGCUUUCGGGUGAGUACUAGUGGCGCACGGGUGAGGAACGCGUGGAUAAUCUGCCUUAGAGUGGGGGAUAACUAGUCGAAAGAUUAGCUAAUACCGCAUAAGACCACGAGAGCUGCGGCUUUUGAGGUCAAAGGUUUAUCGCUCUAAGAUGAGUCCGCGUAAGAUUAGCUAGUUGGUGAGGUAACGGCUCACCAAGGCGACGAUCUUUAACUGGUCUGAGAGGAUGAUCAGUCACACUGGAACUGAGACACGGUCCAGACUCCUACGGGAGGCAGCAGUAGGGAAUAUUGCACAAUGGAGGGAACUCUGAUGCAGCGACGCCGCGUGAGUGAUGAAGGCCUUCGGGUCGUAAAGCUCUGUCGCAGGGGAAUAACACAAUGAAGGUACCCUGUAAGAAAGGAUCGGCUAACUUCGUG